UUAUGGAAUUGAUUGAAUUGAGCCUUGGUACAGAGGCCUACCAAGUGAUAGCUUCCAAAUCCAUGGAACCCUAGGAUAUUUUGGAUGGGAAAUAUUGAGCUAAAUCUGUUUCAUGGAGACAAUACUUUAUUCUCUGAAGAUAGGAAGGGGAUAGGUGCAAAGACUCAAUGAAAGCGAAUGAAUCUCAUUUGGUCCAACACUGUAUUUAUAGAAUGCUCUAUUUAUACCUCAAAAAUGGGCAUGUUAUAUAAUAUCAUACAAAACUUGCAAUCAGAGCUUGAAUCGAUCCAAGAAUUGUAUUCGUAAGAUAGAUUCCAAAUUCGAGUUGGAG
rnacentral:ncRNA from 1 species